rnacentral:rRNA from 1 species
UGCAGUCGACGCUUCUUUUUCCACCGGAGCUUGCUCCACCGGAAAAAGAGGAGUGGCGAACGGGUGAGUAACACGUGGGUAACCUGCCCAUCAGAAGGGGAUAACACUUGGAAACAGGUGCUAAUACCGUAUAACAAUCGAAACCGCAUGGUUUUGAUUUGAAAGGCGCUUUCGGGUGUCGCUGAUGGAUGGACCCGCGGUGCAUUAGCUAGUUGGUGAGGUAACGGCUCACCAAGGCGACGAUGCAUAGCCGACCUGAGAGGGUGAUCGGCCACAUUGGGACUGAGACACGGCCCAAACUCCUACGGGAGGCAGCAGUAGGGAAUCUUCGGCAAUGGACGAAAGUCUGACCGAGCAACGCCGCGUGAGUGAAGAAGGUUUUCGGAUCGUAAAACUCUGUUGUUAGAGAAGAACAAGGAUGAGAGUAACUGUUCAUCCCUUGACGGUAUCUAACCAGAAAGCCACGGCUAACUACGUGCCAGCAGCCGCGGUAAUACGUAGGUGGCAAGCGUUGUCCGGAUUUAUUGGGCGUAAAGCGAGCGCAGGCGGUUUCUUAAGUCUGAUGUGAAAGCCCCCGGCUCAACCGGGGAGGGUCAUUGGAAACUGGGAGACUUGAGUGCAGAAGAGGAGAGUGGAAUUCCAUGUGUAGCGGUGAAAUGCGUAGAUAUAUGGAGGAACACCAGUGGCGAAGGCGGCUCUCUGGUCUGUAACUGACGCUGAGGCUCGAAAGCGUGGGGAGCAAACAGGAUUAGAUACCCUGGUAGUCCACGCCGUAAACGAUGAGUGCUAAGUGUUGGAGGGUUUCCGCCCUUCAGUGCUGCAGC